rnacentral:rRNA from 1 species
UACGUAGGGCGCAAGCGUUGUCCGGAAUUAUUGGGCGUAAAGAGCUCGUAGGCGGCUUGUCACGUCGGGUGUGAAAGCCCGGGGCUUAACCCCGGGUCUGCAUUCGAUACGGGCUGGCUAGAGUGUGGUAGGGGAGAUCGGAAUUCCUGGUGUAGCGGUGAAAUGCGCAGAUAUCAGGAGGAACACCGGUGGCGAAGGCGGAUCUCUGGGCCGAUACUGACGCUGAGGAGCGAAAGCGUGGGGAGUGAACAGG